AUGGAUGAGAAAUGGUUCACUCUGACACAGGAGGAGAACGGCUACUUGCUGCUUCGCGAAGAACCUGAUCCCUUACGCACCUUGCAUCAUAAGGAUAGCAUCGCGAAGGUGAUGUUUCUUGCGGCCAUGGCUAAACCAAGAUAUGGCAAUGUUGGUGUCGUCACGUUUGAUGGAAAGAUAGGCAUUUGGGCCUUUGUCAUAGAGUCUCCGGCUCAAAGAAGGAGUGAAAAUAGAGAAAGAGGGACACUUGAACUCAAAUCAUUGAAAGUUACAAGAGAUGUAAUGAGGCUCUAUAUGUGUGAGAAACUGAUCCCAGCUAUCCAUGACCUGUGGCCUGAUGAAGAUGAAGAACGUACCAUCUUUAUCUAG
rnacentral:rRNA from 1 species